AAAUGACUGUAUUGGCUAUUAGGCCUAACUGGUAGACAAAAUAAUGAGAGGAUGGGCUAGUCCAUUCAUCACUCCCUUUUUGGGUCCUUAAAGA